AUUNGUAUUUUAUAUAUUUCUGUAUUAUAUUAUUAUUAUGUUUUUAUAUUGUAGUUGAAAUGUAAUUGAAAUAAUGUGUUUAAUGUCGUCGUAAACAAUAUUGAUACUUCCUGAUAGCUGUUUGUGAAAGAAGUUUAAAGGUAACAGAUAGUACAGACACAUAUUAGAAAACAAUUUUUGAUACUAAUAUAAUUGGUGAGUCAUUAACGACCAGGUUUUGGCUAUUUCAAACUAAAAAACAAGUUUGUAUGAUUAGCGCAAAUGGAUGUUAUUGAUUUGUACUUUUCUAUGGCGAUGUUGAAGUGCUUGCUAUUAUGCUUCAAUAGCUGAUUUUGUUACGGAUCGAAAUAUGUUGAUUGUGUCACCAUUCGUGCUUAUGCAGUUUGCUAUCAAGAUUUUGCAUAACUCCGAGCAAAGUAGUGCAAUCAGAUUGAAGAAAGGGUAAGGUGUUAGUCUACUAAUUUUGUACUGGCCAGGUGUAUUCCAGAAAAUAGGAAGAGAAAUUCGUUAAUUGAAAUGAAAGGAAAGGGCAAGAAUGAAGUUUAUUGUUAUCUGCUCUCGUUACGUUGAUGAACCUUCUCUACGGAUAGAUAAAUUGAAAAAGUUCAUGUAACACUAAUUGAAUUUACGAACAAGGAACAAAUGAUGAAUAUGAUGUCAAAGUGAUAUUCAUGGACGUGAGUUCUCAUCCUUCAUUUCGUUUUCUGGAAAUGUUAACCGAAUGUUGUAGAAACCGAUUAGAGAUUUCAUUCGUAUGAAGAAAAUUGUUGGAGGUGAAUUAAGAUAUUUGGGUAUAUUUUACGGUUAUUGUUCUGUGGAGUUUGGUAUGCCGUUGGUUCGUUCACUGUCUUCACGGGUUCUUGAAUAUUGGAGUAAGGAAAGAUAUUCUGAAUGAUUCUCUUGGUCUUCUAAUGAGGAAAAAAGAUAAUUCCAACUUGAGAAAAGGAAGGACUCGAUAUCGGUCAUCAUAAAUAAGUUAUUGUCAUUGCGAUCAUCAGCCGUCGUUGCGGAUCUUAAAUAAGGGAUUUUCAGCAGAAGCUAUGAAAAGACGGAGUCAUUGUUGCAGAGUUCCAGCAAAAACGUUUUCCUCUUUUUAUUUAAAAAAUAUUUUUUGAUGAUGCCAGUCAAAUGUCUAAGAAAUUAUGAAUGUUUUUAUAAGGAGGAAUAUGGAGUUUUAAGUAUCUUUCUUUAUAGCAGAAGAGGAAUGAAGAUAACAUUAGUUUUGAUAUCGCUAACAUGAUGAAGUGAUAUUUUGUUAAAAAGCAUUUAUGUGGAUGUCCUCUAUAAAUACGUACAUAUACAAUCUGAAACAAAAAUAAGAAAAACGAUUAUAUAAGGCAUUCAAAACACUGAACAGAUCAUUACAAAUCUCUUCAGAUAUGCAAAGGUACUACCUUUCUUAAACUUGUAAAAUGGGCAUUAUCUACGCAAUUAGGAAAACAUCAAAGAGUUAUAUGCUUGACAAAAAAUCACCAAUAUGAGAAUUAAUGCCAAUUUUAUUGGCAGAUAGGAGAAUUACGAGCGUAGAAAAUCAUGCUACUAUCAGAAAGUUUCUUGGAAAUUAAAAAAGAAACUGCCAUCAUGGAAGCUUGCGGAAUUUUAAAAAAUUGUUAUCAUGGAAAUUCGUUUUGAAGAAGAGGUCGUGGAACUUCAUGGGAGUUAAAGGAAGAGGCCAUCGUCGCGGGACUUCAUGGGAUUUGAAGAAGAGGCUAUCGUCGCGGGACUUCGUGGGAUUUGAAGAGGCCAUCGUCGUGGGACUUCGUGGGAUCCGAAGAGGGUGUCGUCUUCGUGGGACUUCGUGGGACUUCGUGGGAUUCGAAAAGGAUCACUGACUCUUGCAAAUAUCUGAACCCGAAGAAGAUGCUACCAACGUGUUGGAACGGUUUGUGGGAUGAAGAGGCCAUCAUCGCGGGACUCCUGGGGAACUAUCGUCGUGGGACUUCGUGGGAUCCAGAAACAACUCUCAUCGUGGGACUUCGUGGGACGCGGAAGAGGAGAAUUUCAUGGAAGAUAAGAAGACAUUCUACGUAAACAUAAUCGAAAAUUAAGACUACAGCAUUGAAGAUAAAGAAGACAUAUUGACGCAGGAGUUGCCUGGGACGUCGAAUCCUUUAACGCAUAGGAAAUAAUUGGAGAUUGGAUAAUCUCCGUCAUGACAGGAUUUUUCAUUGAACGUGAAUCAAUUUGCCGUACUUGGAAUUUUAUGAUCGAUCAUGGUCCGUGAAUCUCGAACUUUACUGUAUUACUUGGACUUGGAACUUCGUGGAAUAUGGAUUCAAGGCUUCGCUGAAUGGGACUCGGGACUUCACGGGUUGUGGUUCUCGGACAUCGCAGGACGUAGAUCUAGAACUUCCUGAAACAUCGCGGGACAUCGCGGGACAUCGCGGGACGUGGACCUGGAGCUUCGUAGAUCAUCGUGGGACAUCGUGGGACAUCGCGGGACGUGGACUUUGGAGAUUUUUGGAACAUCGUGGGACAUCGCAGGACGAGGGCCUGGAACUUUUUGGAACAUCGUGGGACUUCGCGGGACGUGGACCUGGAGCUUCCUGUACAUCGUGGGACAUCGAGGGACUCGGAACAGUAAACGACAUCACUCUACUUAAGAAGACGCUGAAGACCAUGAAGACCAUGAAGAAGAGGACAUCACUGAAGAUAAAGAAGAAAAAUCAAAAUACACUGCACAAAAGAAAUAAAGAGCAAAAAUUCAACAUUUAUACCUUAGAAAUUCAUGCCAAUGUUUGCAAAAUAUGAGAUCUCUUUAACUGAAAAAUGUUCAGUAACAGAAAUUUGAAGAAAC